CGUGGAAAAGGACUGACCGAGUUGGACUUGGAGGCAGCAACUUGCGACUGGAAAAAGGAGGAGGAAACAAAUUUAAAAUUAUAAAAUAAAAAAAAAUUAUCUGAGGGGCCCCCAAACAGUGCACUCGUUCUUGUUCGCAUAAUUGCUGUUUCUUUUUUGUAUUUCCAAAAUUGAAUUCAAACUAAAUUUUUUUGCUUAUUAGUUUUUAUUUUAUUUCGUUUCGUUGGAGGAGGUGAUGGAGAAUUCAGUUGCUGAACAUCAACGCAGUGAAGCAUCUUCUUCGGAUCCUCCGAAUCAUGCUCAGGGUGGUGAUGGUUUUGAGGUAUGCAUUGAAAUGGAGAAAAGCAUAGAAGCCUCUCAUCAGACUAAACGGCCGAAUCUCUCCUCUUUGCAAAUACCUUUAAGGUCUUUGGAAAGUUCUUUCUAUGAUUUUACGAGUGUAGAUAUUCCUUCUGACCCAAGUCCUAGUUCUACUAAAGUAGGGCUGCCUCCUAGACCACAUUCGGCUAAAAUCAGAUCCUCUGUUAGAAGUAUCCUUCCCCAGAGGAGCUUUAGGGCAAACAAUUUGUGCCAAAAAGGUGAGAAGAUGGUUCUAAUUGUUCCAGACACACCUCCAUCUGAUGGUUCUUUGGAGAAGCCUUCUACGUCAAGGUCAUUUUCUCUCAACAAAGUUUUGUUCCCUUCAACAAAGGCAGCACAUUCUUUACCAGUUACACCAAUUGCGUAUUCAGGUCCAAAGUCUAUACCAGAAAGACAUAUAGAUGCUCAAUCUCAUGUUUCUAAGUCAGUAGCUCAACAGCAUAUGACACGCUCAUUGUCUGUACCAGUUCAUGCUAAACCUAGAAGUUUAAGGCGAGCAGACUCUGGGCGAGGUCUGGUCCGCGUAAUUUCAGCAACAUUUCAUCCUGUGCAAGUUGAGGGUGCCUUGCCAAAUGAUGUUCCUUCAACAGAAAUCACUAGUGAAGAUGUAGGUGAAGACAUUCCUGAAGAAGAAGCAGUAUGCAGGAUUUGCUUGGUUGAGCUUUGCGAAGGAGGUGAGACUCUGAAGAUGGAGUGUAGCUGUAAAGGAGAGCUUGCACUUGCUCACAAAGAGUGUGCAGUGAAGUGGUUUAGCAUCAAAGGAAACAAGACAUGUGAUGUCUGCAAGCAAGAUGUUCAGAAUCUGCCAGUAACAUUGUUAAAAAUGAAUGAUCCACGGAUUGUUACCAGACGACCUCCUACUGUGCCACAACAGGCUCAGGUUGCUCGUUACAGGGUCUGGCAGGAUGUACCAGUUCUGGUCAUGGUUAGCAUACUGGCUUACUUCUGUUUUCUGGAACAACUUCUUGUGUCUAACUUGGGUCCGCGUGCUCUAGCCAUCUCAUUACCAUUUUCCUGUGCUUUAGGUCUUCUUUCCUCUACAAUUGCUUCAACAAUGGUGAGCAGGAGUUACAUAUGGGCCUAUUCUUCCUUCCAGUUUGCAAUGGUUAUCCUGUUCGCUCACAUCUUCUAUACAGUCCUUGAUGUGAACGCAAUUCUUUCUGUCCUCCUUUCGUCAUUCACUGGGUUUGGUAUUGCAAUUAGUACAAAUUCUCUUCUGGUGGAAUACCUUAGAUGGAGAAGAAGAGGACAUACACAAUCUCCCCAACAGCGUAUAAAUGGAACCCGGCAGCAGCGAGUACAACAGCCAGAAAACCAACAGGACAGUAACCAGCAAAGGCAACCGUGAGACCAACAUCAGUCAAUUGACAGUCACAAUGUUAGACCCACUGGUAAUUCAAGGCAGUAACAAACCAUUAUGUUAAACCUCUUUAGUCUGCAAAGAUGUCUUAAAAUUUUGUUUUUCCUUUAAGGUCCUCGAGCUUGUACCUUAAUCAGAUGUGGAGACUUGAGAACCACUUCGGUGUUAGAAGACGCAUUAUUUUUGACAUUUCCUUGAGUUGUAUGCUGUAUGAUCCAACAAAUUAGACCUCAUGAACGGAUGGGUAAAGUUGAGUUCAGCCCAUCUGAUCAUGGCCGAAGAUGCUCUUACCUCGAUAGUGUUAAAGCUCAAAAUUAGAUAGGAAAGAUGUACACCUUUGUGUCAAGGGGCAUAACUUAGCAAUUACCAGGAUCGAAUGCAAAGAAUUUUGUGGAGAAAAAAAGAUGAAGAUUCGAGAGGCAGGGGCCGAGCAUCUUGAUAGAAAACUAUGAACAACUGGUCCAAAAAGCUUAAUGGAGCAAAACUAUAUUAACAUGCGUCUGUUCUUUGAGGUAGUUUCAGUCUAAUCAAGUCACAACUUC